GGCUUUUCUGAACAUUUAAUGGGAAGCCUCUUCCAAGAGAAACACCCUCAAAAACGUUCAGGAUCCCGCAUGGCAUCGAAAAGCCAGACAGGAGUGCCGACGCACGCAGGUGGUGGGUUCUGCCCACCGACUCCGGCAGAAAGACCUCCCGCCUGGUUCUCCAAGUGAUCAACUCUAUUUGCAUGCGUGGUGCAGACAUUUUGCCGGGUACCGGGGUUCCCAGGCCUCCGAUUGUAAAGGAUUGUGAGGCCACCCCUCUCCUCGUUCACAUGGAGAGCGCCUAAGAGGAUUUAGAAUCAAGUGGGCACAUUUGCACGGCCUUGUUCUGAAGAGGCAGCUGGAGCGCGGGCGGCCCGCCCGGAGCAGCCCACCGCGGGUCCCGGGGGACUGCAUUGUCCUCCGAGGGGCCGCCGCGGGGGCUCCAUUGUGCGCGGAGCAGGCCUUUUUCUCCUGCCCUCUGUCUCCCCCGGGCCUGCCCACCCCUCCCACCCCGCAGACUUUUCUCUCAAGCUGCCCGAUCCCCCUGCUGCCGCAUUUCCAAUGCAGAGAGGCCGGCAGGGCUUCGGGCCGGCCAUCUGCACGCGGAGAUUGACAGCCGCCCCGAAGGGACCUGCCACAUUGGUACAGUUUUCACAGGUGCAGUGGUCGGGGGCAUGCCGGGGCGUCACAUCCAAAGGAAAAGACAAGUUUUGCAUCUUGCACCUCCCAUCACAAAGACAGAAGCGCAGAACAUGCUGAGGGCAUUUGAGUUCUGCAAACAGCAUAUCCCCUACCUGGGAAUACUGCUUCAACCAGAGCACCAUUCUAAGUUUAACAGCUUUGAGAAAGGACCAGGAAAAAGGCAGGGCUCUGCAUCAGGCCUGGGAUGCCGUGCAAGCAGCCCUACCACUUGGCCCGUGUGAGCCAAGAGGCCGUUCGGCAUUAGAGGUAUGGGUGGUGGGAAAAGAUGCCAUGUAGAGUUUUUGGCAAAUCCCAAUGGGAAAAGCACAAUGCAGACAGCCAGGAUCCCGGGGCGAGGCUAUGCCGUCUGCAUCUACAAUGUUUUAACAAUAGCUCUGGUGUGCUGUAGAGACCUAAUGAAGACAGAGCACCUAACCAUGGGACACCAACUGACCGUGUGACCAAAGCGGCCCAUCAUGACUGGGUUCUGUCAGAACCAGCACAUCACACCACGGGAUGGGCCAAGGAGCAAUGCAUCAUAGGACUGGAUUAGCACCUCUGGGAUUAAGCACAAGCAGGACCAGAGGACACACUCAAGCUGCACCAGCGCUCCACAUCACCGGCUGUUACUGCACCAGCACCUCCCCCUCAGCUCACACCUAUGGCCACACGGAGGAUCCUUGUGACCAGCUGAUUGAACAUGAAGGAGCUCAAGCUUGCUUCAUGGAUGGGCUGGUGUGCAUGUGGGUGCAAGCUGAAAAUGGACAGUGACUGCAUUACAGCCCUGUUCAAGGGUGGUCUUGAAAAACAAUGGUGAGGGAAAGCUUCAGGUGGUGUCCCUGGUCAUCCACUUGGUGUUCAAAGAGAAGUGGCCUAAGAUUGCACUCACAGGCAGUAUCAAAUGGCUUCACUGAAUGGGCAGGGGCCUAGAAGGAAAAAAACUGGCAGAUUGGCAACAAGAAAUUCUGGAGUAGACACGUGCAUGGACCUGUGAGAGGGCGCACACUGUGAAGAUCUUUGUGUCACAUGUUAGCAGCCACAAGAGGGAGGCACAAAGAAUACACGUAGAUAAAAUGACUAACCAGUUGAUGGCAACCAGCCUCUGUCAUCAGCCACUGCAGCGUUGGGACUACAGGCACAUGAAGGGAAGAGCCAUGGAGGCGAAUAUGGAGGCUAUGCAUGGGUCCACGAGCAUGGGCUCCCGCUUACCAAAGCUUUUCCAGCUGCUGCUACUGCCAAGUCGCUAACAUUCCAGCAGAGAGAGUGAUACUGAGUCCCCGGUAUAGCACCAUCCCUCAAGGAGACCAACCAGACACUCUGCAAACAGACUUCAUUGGACAUCUUCCACCUUGAAGAAACAGUAGUUCAUUUUAAGAUGCAUGGACACAUAUUCUGGAUUUGGCUUUCAUUUCUUGUCUGUAGGGCCUUGGCUAGCACCAUUAUCCAAGGGCUUUACAUAGUGUUAAAUGCACUGUCAUGGGAUCCCAUAUAACAUCACGUCAGACCAAGGAAUACACUUGUUCAGCAAAGGAGUUGUUGGAAUGUGCACGUGACCAUGGACUCCACUGGUUCCAUCUCAUGCUAAACCACCCAGAAGCUGCUAGACAGACAGAGCAUGGCCUAGAUGGACCUGUUGAAAGCUUAGCUGAUACACUAGCUCAAAGGUGAUACUUUGUGAGGCUGGACCACCGUUCUCCAGGAGGCAGGGUACACCUUAAAUCAAACACUUUUAUAUGGCGCUGUGUUCACAAUGAGUAGAAUACGUAAGUCUAGGAAGCAGGAAUUAGAAACAGGAGCGAUCCCGCCACCCAUCACUCCCAGUCACCUACUUGAAGAAUUUUACCUUCCUAUCCUCACAACACUGAGUUCUGUGGGUUUUGAGGUCCCAGCUUCUAGAGGGGGAGUGCUUCUGACAGGGGACACAGCCACACCCCCACUGAACUAUAAGCAUGGCUGAUCCUUGGGCACUUCUAGCUCCUUGCACCAAGGGGCCAACAGGCAAGCAGAGGAGUUGCUGUCUUGAAAGGGAUAACAACCUGAUCGUCAGGAACAGAGAGGGCUCUCAUUCUACACAGCGAAGGGAGGAAUAUGUGUAGAAUCUAGACGGUCUACUUAGGCACCUGUUGGUCCUCCCUUCUCCAACUUUGGAAGAAAAAUAGACUACAGCCUGAGAGGGACAUAAUGGCCAGGGGCUCCGAUCUCUCAGGCAUGAGGGUCUAGUCUCACCACCAGGAAACCCACCGAGAUCAGCAGAGCUGCAGGUUGAGAGUGAGGGAAAUCUUCAGUGGAUAACAGAGGAGGGAGAAGAUGAGUAUCCGUUGUCACCCUGAAACCAGCUGUAGCUUCAGGAUUUACGAUUUGCCCCACUACCCUUCCUCUCGUAAGUCCCCACUAGGAACAGAGGCUCACUGGUAUCUUGGAGGACCUUUUCUCGGAAACUAUAAGAAGAAGAGGAUCCAAGUGUUGCAAGGGGUGGACUGUAGUGGCUUCUUUGCUAAAUCGUCCAGAUUCCUACUCAGGAGGAUUCCUAUUCAGGAAUGAAGGUCUUACUGCCCAGCUGCUGGGAGUGCUGACAGAAGACGGCCCUCAGCUCUCAGCCUGUGGAGUUUGCUUUAUCUAAAGAAAACUGCCUGGUGCCCUGAAGAUCACACCUCCUUCCAGGGACAACUUGCACUGAAUUACGCUCUUGCCCUGAUUUAGGACACCUCUAAAAAGGCUACCCCUGCUCCAGUGCUCCAUAUGGGGUGGCUGAUGACUGCAUCAUAUCCCAGCUUCUCCCUCUGUCUAAUCCUGCGUUUCCCCUCUCCCUUCACAAGUAAUGAUCCCAAUAAAUGAGAUCACUGAACGACUUCACUGGGAACAUGGCCUACAACAGCCAGUAAAACUUGGGUUGUUACCAGAUGAGAUAAUUUUUAUUCAUAGGCUGGUGAGGUCUAUGAAUAAAAAAUGUUGGUUAUAAAAAGUAGUCAAUUUUCUUAAUACCAAACUAUAAUUAUGAGCCUCUUGCUAGUUGUCAGUUGAUUUUGAUCAAAUAUAUGUAGCAAAGUGAACACUUUUUGAGAAUUCCUAAAUACAUUCAGUCUGGGCACAUCUCACUUCAGAUGCCAGAUUCCCAACCCUGAUUUCAAUUCUAGAUUUGAAUUUUAGCCAUUUCGUAAAAGAGAAUGAAUUUUCACAGAGCUAGUAGAGGCCAGUGUUCCUCAGAGUUUUGAUACAUGGUCAGAAACUUCAGGAGAAUUUGUGGAUUCAUAUAUUCAUUUCCAGAAUCCUAAGGUUUUGUGCCUUCUUUGCAUGCAUAGCUUGUUUUCCAGCCCAAUCAGUUCUUGAAACUGAACCAUACUGAUAAAGCAGAUGUUUAAUAAUUCAGAUAUAUGCUGAGGUUUGCAUUCCAAGGCCAAUUGUAGAAACUUAAAAACAUGUCUCAUUUUUAUCAGACUUUAUGAAUCUUGUCUUGAAUUAUGACUUCAAAUCCACCCCAUAGCAGCUGUAUAAACUCCGUGGCAGUUUGGGAGGGGCUCGGGACAGAUCAGGAAAGUGGAGUCGGUGUGUUCCAGCUGCCAUCUGUCUGCUCACGUGCCCACUUCCAUCUGAGUGCCUGGACAAAUCAGCAAAGUGGGUUUUUCUUCCUUGCCACUUCAAGUUCAGGGCUUGUCUCAUCAGCAAGAAAGUUCCAUCUUGGGAGCCUUUGGGAAAAGAACAAGCUGUUUCCUCUGAGAUCUUUCAUGACCGAAAGUUACUGACCUGAGGAUGUAGUUCAGAGCGCCUCCUCGACGAGUUUGCACAAUCUUGCACUCUACUGCACUGACAGGGAGGUCUCCGCGCUCGACUGCGCGUGCCUCUGUAGAGCCGAUGUACCGAGUAUCAUUAAGGGGACAAGUAUAAAGAUAUGCACACACAAUCGUUUCAUGGUGCUCAUCAUAUAGUGAGCCCGAGUGG
rnacentral:lncRNA from 1 species